rnacentral:rRNA from 1 species
GACGAACGCUGGCGGCGUGCCUAAUACAUGCAAGUAGAACGCAGUUGCGAACGGGUGAGUAACGCGUAGGUAACUGCCUCAUAGCGGGGGCUAACUAUUGGAAACGAUAGCUAAUACCGCAAACUGUGAGAUGGACCUGCGUUGUAUUGGUUAGUUGGUGGGGUAAAGGCUCACCAGGGCGACGAUCCAUAGCCGACCUGAGAGGGUGAUCGGCCAAACUGGGACUGAGAAAAGGCCCAGAAUCCUACGGGAGGCAGCAGUAGGGAAUCUGUGGCAAAGGACGGAAGUCUGAACGAGCAAAGCCGCGUGAGUGAAGAAGGUUUUCGGAUCGUAAAGCUCUGUUGUUAGAGAAGCGGUACCUAACCAGAAAGGGACGGCUAACUACGUGCCAGCAGCCGCGGUAAUAC